GACGAACGCUGGCGGCGUGCCUAAUACAUGCAAGUAGGACGCAGUUGCGAACGGGUGAGUAACGCGUCGGUAACUGCCUAUUAGAGGGGGCUAACUAUUGGAAACGAUAGCUAAUACCGCAUACUAGUAGAUGGACCUGCGUUGUAUUAGCUAGUAGGUAGGGUAAUGGCCUACCUAGGCGACGAUACAUAGCCGACCUGGGAGGGUGAACGGCCACACUGGGACUGAGGAACGGCCCAGACUCCUUCGGGAGGCAGCAGUAGGGAAUCGUCGGGAAUGGGGGGAACCCUGACCGAGCAACGCCGCGGGAGUGAAGAAGGGUUUCGGAUCGUAAAGCUCUGUUGUUAAGGAAGCGGUACUUAACCAGAAAGGGACGGCUAACUACGUGCAAGCAGCCGCGGUAAUUC
rnacentral:rRNA from 1 species